CCUACGGGAGGCAGCAGUAGGGAAUCUUCCGCAAUGGACGAAAGUGUGACGGAGCAACGCCGCGUGAGUGAUGAAGGUUUUCGGAUCGUAAAGCUCUGUUGCCAGGGAAGAAUGCUUGGGAGAGUAACUGCUCCCAAGGUGACGGUACCUGAGAAGAAAGCCCCGGCUAACUACGUGCCAGCAGCCGCGGUAAU
rnacentral:rRNA from 1 species